UACGGGGGGGGCAAUCGUUGUUCGGAAUUACUGGGCGUAAAGGGCUCGUAGGCGGCCAACUAAGUCAGACGUGAAAUCCCCAGGCUCAACCUGGGAACUGCGUCUGAUACUGGAUGGCUUGAAUUCGGGAGAGGGAUGCAGAAUUCCAGGUGUAGCGGUGAAAUGCGUAGAUAUCUGGAGGAAUACCGGUGGCGAAGGCGGCAUCCUGGACCGACAUUGACGCUGAGGAGCGAAAGCUAGGGGAGCAAACGGG
rnacentral:rRNA from 1 species